rnacentral:lncRNA from 1 species
UAUAUAUGCUCCAUUCCAGUCUAUAUGUGUGACUUGCUCGUGGGCCUUGCUUGUCAAUGCAUUGCUGGUUCUGCCUGCUAUUAUAUCGGCCCUUUGUCGACCCUAAUGUAAUAGAGUAAUGUAGAGUAAUGUUCUUCCCUAAUGUAGAGUAAUGUUCUUUUUUCCACAUACACGUAUGUGGAAAAAAAGAACAUUACUCUAUCCAAAACAGAACAAACAGUGAUAGUAUGCUAACACGAGAGAGAGACACUAGGCCAUAUGCACCUAUCACAUAUUACCCAGAAGUGAAGAAAGUGUUAUGGAAAUAUACAAGACAAGGGAAGUAUAAGAUAGCCCUUAAAAGGGCCCUGACUCUUUUUAAUCAUAAAAGAAAUGAUGAUGACCUGGUUCCUAAAGGUAAGAAGGCCGGAGUCUACACCAUUCCUAUAUAUAACGAGGAUGAAGAUAUAC